ensembl:lncRNA
GGGAGUUGACCUAUACCCUGAUAUCUGUACUCAGAACCAUAACAUGCAGGUGGUCUGUACAAGCUAUACCCUUAUGGUUGAUUGUCUGUUUCAGGGUUCAUGAAUUACAGAAAAACAUGCUGAUCAAAAUACACCAGGACCAUCAAGGGAUGGAAAAGUCAAAACGACGUCCAGAAACAGUGUUAUUCUGGCCCAAGAUGAAUGGUGAUAUAGAGCAGACAGUCAGAGCCUGUGGAACAUGCCAGAAAUACAGGUCAAAACAAAGCAAAGUGUGAGGACAGACGCUGGGAGACGAGAAGCAAGUACAGGGAGUGUAACAUUUAAUAAUAAAACAGACAGGAACAAAACACCGACAGCGUCUGGACAACGGAAACACCUCAACAUUACUGGUGACACGGGGAUCAACCUGAGGAACAGACAGAUACAGGGGAGGAAAUUAAACAGUGAUGAAGAGGGACACCCAACUGGGUGAGCCUGACGGGCUGGCCGAGAUGCGGGAUCCUGUCAAGCCGGCUGAGGCCAGGGAUCAUGAUGAGCCAGCUGAGGCCAGGGAGCAUGAUGAGCCGGCUGAGGCCAGGGAGCAUGAUGAGCCAGCCGAGGUGCGGGAUCCUGUCAAGCCGGCUGAGGCCAGGGAUCAUGAUGAGCCAGCUGAGGCCAGGGAGCAUGAUGAGCCGGCUGAGGCCAGGGAGCAUGAUGAGCCAGCUGAGGCCAGGGAGCAUGAUGAGCCGGCUGAGGCCAGGGAGCAUGAUGAGCCAGCUGAGGCCAGGGAGCAUGAUGAGCCAG